UAAAGAUUUGAAAUCCUCUGAAUGUCUCACAUUGCCUCUCCUUGAUGAUUUAUAUAUCUCAAAACAGACUGGUUAAAGUGAAAUUUAGUUGCCCAGCUUCAGAAAGAACACGCACAAGGCCAGAAAAAAGGAAAAGAAGAAGAAAAGGGGGACCUGUGAUGACCUGAUCUGACAGAGUGGAAGAAUGAAAAAAAAAAAAACUUAAGACAGAUGGAACAGUUGAAUAACGUUUUGAAUUGUUGCAUAUUGUGAAAAGGUUUAUGAUGGAAAGUCAACUUAAAUGUACUAACUGUGAAAUGUCAAAUAUGCAGAAGAAACUUGCAUAAUUGGAAACAUAAUGCAGGUUUGCUCAGCUAACUGAAAUGUUACUUUUUCCUUUCCUUAUUUAUGUGCCACUGUGAAGCCAGGGGCAGGAUGUGUUUUCUUGUAGAUAAAAUAACGGGUAAAAGUGUGAGCUUUUUGUGCGCAGAAUCUUAUGAGAUAAAUGUUCUUUGAACAGUAAUUUUGAAUGUUAACUGCUUUAUGCAUACCUUAAGGAAUCAUUUCUGUAAUGGGACUGCCCCUAACGCUUAAAGACGGCCCUUAUCAAACCAUACUAAAGUUUAUGUUUCCAGUUUCUCAGGGCCGCAACUUUUCGAGGUGAAGACUUCACACGCUUUUUUUUUUCUUUUUCUCAUUUUGACUUUAUUGUUUUUGUAUCAUUCUGAAAAUUGAGUAAAACGCAACCAUGAUUUGUGAUUCCAAAACAUUUUAAGAUCAGUCUAAGAAUGAUUUUUUCCUAGAAAUCUUUAUUUGAAAUUUGUAUUUUAUACUAAGCAAAGAGCGCACACCACCGAAGGGACUCUGAUACAGCUUACAACGCCACUAACCAUCAGGGGAUCUGUUCAUCAGAUAUAUAAAAAUUGUGAACCAGACUACAGACGACAAGAGACAGGAGCAUCAUGGCGGGGGUUAAGGAUUUUUUCAAGAAAAUACUGGAAUUCCUGAUGAAAUCAUCCCUUUUCCAAUCUUUUCCACUUAGCUUUUUGUCAUUCGGAUUGGAGGCCUUGAUGGAUCAACACUUCUCAUGCCCAUGCAACAAAAAUUUGAAUAUGUGGUUAACUUUGGGCAUAUUCAUUGGUCCUGCUCUUUUUAUUUUUUGUUUAAUGUUCCUCGUGUUAAGGCCUUUAAGACAGAAAUGGUUUCAUUGCCCGGAUGGAGAGAUAGACGAUACUCAGAAGAACUGUCUUACAGAUCUCGCAUGUUGUCUGAUUCCACCUGCAAUGUGGAUCGUCAUCUUGUUAUUUGAUGGAGAUUAUUUAGCUUGUGGCUUUGCAAACUCUGAUGGAGAUUAUGUUUUUGAUGAGAAGCUAAACAUAUCGUGGUGUAAACCCAUUUCAGAAGAUAAUAACACAAGAUCGAGCAACUCUCAUGGAAAUAUACAAGACACAGUUAAUAAUUUGCAUUGGUCCAAGAGUUUGGGUUAUAUCAUGAUUUCUGUCUUCAGUGUCUCGGCAAUUGUCAUUGUUGGUAUUCAUGACUGUUGCACAUCUGGAAAAUGUUGUCGUAAAUGUCAUACUCCCAUCCCCACCGAACCGUCUAGUCCAGAGAUCCCCAGUACAGGUGAUCGAGGACAGCAGGACAUACAGCUUCCUGAUCGCACCAGCACAGUGCUAUAAUUUAGUUUGUUGUUGCAUUUCAGAGUAAGGAUAAACAGAUUCAGGGGCGCAACUACCCAGUUUCAGAGGGGUAUGCAGCAACAGUUUAAGCGCUUCCCCGUAAGAAAAU